UACGUAGGGGGCAAGCGUUGUCCGGAAUUAUUGGGCGUAAAGAGCGCGUAGGCGGUCCGAUAAGUCGGCUGUGAAAGUCAGGGGCUCAACCCUUGAAAGCCGGCCGAUACUGUCGGACUAGAGUCCGGAAGAGGCGAGUGGAAUUCCUGGUGUAGCGGUGAAAUGCGCAGAUAUCAGGAGGAACACCAAUUGCGAAGGCAGCUCGCUGGGACGUAACUGACGCUGAGACGCGAAAGCGUGGGGAGCAAACAGG
rnacentral:rRNA from 1 species